GUGUGUGUAGCUCAGCGGUUAAAGCAUCCCUCCGGAUUGAGGUGGUCAUGGGUUCGAAUUCCAUUGCACACA
rnacentral:tRNA from 1 species